UACAGAGGUCUCAAGCGUUGUUCGGAUUCAUUGGGCGUAAAGGGUGCGUAGGCGGCGCGGUAAGUCGGGUGUGAAAUCUCGGAGCUUAACUCCGAAACUGCAUUCGAUACUGCCGUGCUUGAGGACUGGAGAGGAGACUGGAAUUUACGGUGUAGCGGUGAAAUGCGUAGAGAUCGGGAGGAACACCAGAGGCGAAAGCGGCGACCUGGACAGGAACUGACACUCAACUACGAAAGCGUGGGGAGCAAACAGG
rnacentral:rRNA from 1 species